GCUAUACCAAGCGGCCGCGCAGGAGAUGGCCGCCGUCCACGGGCACCCGCACCUCCACAUAUAGUCUAUGCAGUCGAGGUGGUCAUACGUGACAGCCGCGACCAGUGCACGUUCAUUCCACGGGCGGCCGUGCUCGCAAAUGUAGCGCAGACAAUCGAGACGACCCCAUGCAGCCGCCAUCCAUGCAGUGUCCUCAUCGGUGGGACAUCCAUCCUCACACAUAUAGACGAAGCAGUCAUAAUGUCCCCCAAAGGCGGCUGCGGUUGGCGCGCUCUCAUCCCAUGGACACCCGUUGGCGCGCAGAUAGCGUAGGCAUGCGACGUGGCCGCCUCGGGCCGCCGCGGCCGUCGUCUUUUCGCUGCACGGGCAGCCACUCUUGUGCGCAUAGACCAAACAGUUGAGGUGGCCGUACUGAGCCGCGUCCUCUGCACAUGUCGGACCCCAUGGGCAGCCGUGCUCGUGCACGUAGCGCAGGCACUCAAGGUGGCCGUUGGCGGCGGCGCACGCGGUGGCGUAAUAAGUAUGAGAGCGUAGCGUGACCUUGGUCCACGCGUAUCCGGCCUCGUGGAGAUAUGUGAGCAUGGCCACGUCGCCGCGCACGGCCGCCUCGCAGUCCAGGCCCUCUUCCCACGGACACCCGUGUGUGCGCGCAUAGACGAGGCAGUCUAUGUGACCGUAUUGAGCCGCAACCGUCAACUGGGUCUUGCUCCAGUCGCAGCCGCUCUCGUAGAGGUAGCGCAGACAUGCCAGAUGGCCCUGUUGGGCGGCGACGCGACAGGCAGCGCGCUUGAGCGUGCAUCCAUUCUCAUAGAGGUAACGCAGACAGGCCAGGUGCCCGUUCUUGGCGGCCAUGUAGGCGGCCUCGUGCGUCCACGGACAUCCAUUGUCGUGCAGGUAGCGCAGGCAGGCGAGGUGACCGCCGGCUGCCGCGUCCAGACACGCCAGCGAACCCCAUUUCUGCCCACACUGGUGGGCAUAGACGAGGAUGUUGAGAUGGCCACCGGCGGCUCUACGGCAUGCAUCGCGUGCCCACGGGCAUCCAUUCUCGACAAGAUACCUGACGCACGCCAGACUGCCGCUGCGGAUGGCUGCGACCGACGUCGAUCUCCCCCACGGGAAAACGGGUUCACUGGCAAAGCGCCACAGGCGCGGGUCUUUGGCCCUGGCCGCCGCGGCCUUGCUGCCAUGGCGCCUCGGGCGCUCAAUGCUCCUUGCAUAGACAAGGCAAUCAAGAUGGCCGGCGGCGGCAGCCUGCGUGCACAGCGUCGUCGCCGUCGUCGAUGACGACGCGGUGCUGCCUAUGCACAGAGCGCGUCCCAUGGCCACGGGGUCAUUGCAAAUCAGCCUCCACAUGCGACAGACGCGCGUGGCGAUGCGCAGAGCCUCUAGGCACGACAAGCGACUCAGGAUGCUCGCCACCAACUCGUUGGGCAGGUCGUCAAAGGUGGCCAUUGACCCUAAAGUGUGUCCUUGGGUUACUGUUUUGCUGCCUUCUUUUUUUAUAAAUAUUAAAAGAAAGAGCCUGCCUUGGCGCCCUUUGUGUGCGCCCUGUGGCCCGACAGCGACGACAACAGAGAGAGGGACGCGCAACCGCAAACCUCGACCCAUUUUUCUUCUGUGCCUUUUUUCU
rnacentral:lncRNA from 1 species